rnacentral:rRNA from 1 species
UACAGAGGUCCCAAGCGUUGUUCGGAUUCACUGGGCGUAAAGGGUGCGUAGGUGGUCGUGUAAGUCUGAUGUGAAAUCUUCGAGCUCAACUCGAAAAUGGCAUUGGAUACUAUUCGGCUGGAGGGUUGGAAGGGGGACUGGAAUUCUCGGUGUAGCAGUGAAAUGCGUAGAUAUCGAGAGGAACACCGGUGGCGAAGGCGAGUCCCUGGACAACUCCUGACACUGAGGCACGAAAGCUAGGGGAGCAAACAGG